rnacentral:rRNA from 1 species
UACGUAGGGGGCAAGCGUUGUCCGGAAUCAUUGGGCGUAAAGAGCGUGUAGGCGGCCAAGCAGGUCCGUUGUGAAAACUGGAGGCUUAACCUUCAGACGUCGACGGAAACCGCGCGGCUAGAGUCCGGAAGAGGAGAGUGGAAUUCCUGGUGUAGCGGUGAAAUGCGCAGAUAUCAGGAAGAACACCAAUGGCGAAGGCAGCUCUCUGGGACGGUACUGACGCUGAGACGCGAAAGCGUGGGGAGCGAACAGG